rnacentral:rRNA from 1 species
GAUGAACGCUGGCGGCGUGCCUAAUACAUGCAAGUCGAGCGAAGAGACGCGGAGCUUGCUCCUCUGACGUUAGCGGCGGACGGGUGAGUAACACGUGGAUAACCUAUCUAUAAGACUGAGAUCACUUCGGGAAACCGGAGCUAGUACCGGAUACUAUCUUGAACGGCAUGGUUCAAUAGUGAAAGACGGUUUUGCUGUCCCGUAUAGAUGGUUCCGCGCCGCAUUAGCUAGUUGGUAAGGUACAGGCUUCCCAAAGCAACGAUGCGUAGCCGACCUGAAAGGGUGACCGGCCCCAGUGGAACUGAGAGACGGUCCAGACUCCUACGGGAGGCAGCAGGCGGGAAUCUACCGCAAUGGGCGAAAGCCUGACGCAACAACGCCGCGUGAGGGAUGAAGGUCGUCGUAUCGUAAAACUCGGUUGUUGGGGAAGAACAAAGGUGUAAGGAAAGAUGCACGUCGUGACGAUACCUAAUCAGAAGGCCACGGCUAACGACGUG